rnacentral:rRNA from 2 species
AGAGUUUGAUCAUGGCUCAGAGCGAACGCUGGCGGCAGGCUUAACACAUGCAAGUCGAACGGGCACCUUCGGGUGUCAGUGGCAGACGGGUGAGUAACACGUGGGAACGUGCCCUUUGGUUCGGAACAACUCCGGGAAACUGGAGCUAAUACCGGAUAAGCCCUUCGGGGGAAAGAUUUAUCGCCGAUGGAUCGGCCCGCGUCUGAUUAGCUAGUUGGUGGGGUAAUGGCCCACCAAGGCGACGAUCAGUAGCUGGUCUGAGAGGAUGAUCAGCCACACUGGGACUGAGACACGGCCCAGACUCCUACGGGAGGCAGCAGUGGGGAAUAUUGGACAAUGGGCGCAAGCCUGAUCCAGCCAUGCCGCGUGAGUGAUGAAGGCCCUAGGGUUGUAAAGCUCUUUCACCCACGACGAUAAUGACGGUAGUGGGAGAAGAAGCCCCGGCUAACUUCGUGCCAGCAGCCGCGGUAAUACGAAGGGGGCUAGCGUUGCUCGGAAUCACUGGGCGUAAAGGGCGCGUAGGUGGACCUUUAAGUCAGGGGUGAAAGCCUGUGGCUCAACCACAGAAUUGCCUUUGAUACUGAGGGUCUCGAGACCGGAAGAGGUUGGUGGAACUGCGAGUGUAGAGGUGAAAUUCGUAGAUAUUCGCAAGAACACCAGUGGCGAAGGCGGCCAACUGGUCCGGUUCUGACGCUGAGGCGCGAAAGCGUGGGGAGCAAACAGGAUUAGAUACCCCGGUAGUCC